rnacentral:rRNA from 1 species
AUUGAACGCUGGCGGCAGGCCUAACACAUGCAAGUCGAACGAGUGGCGGACGGGUGAGUAAUGUCUGGGAAACUGCCCGAUGGAGGGGGAUAACUACUGGAAACGGUAGCUAAUACCGCAUACCAUCGGAUGUGCCCAGAUGGGAUUAGCUAGUAGGUGGGGUAACGGCUAACCUAGGCGACGAUCCCUAGCUGGUCUGAGAGGAUGACCAGCCACACUGGAACGGAGACACGGUCCAGACUCAUACGGGAGGCAGCAGGGGGUAAUAUUUCACAAUGGGCGCAAGCCUGAUGCAGCCAUGCCGCGUGUAUUAAGAAGUCCUUCGGGUUGUAAAGUACGUUCAGCGAGGAGGCGUUACUCGCAGAAGAAGCACCGGCUAACUCCGUGCCAGCCGCCGCGGUAAUUC